rnacentral:rRNA from 1 species
CAGCCGCCACGGUAAUACAGAGGGUGCAAGCGUUAAUCGGAAUUACUGGGCGUAAAGCGCGCGUAGGUGGUUUGUUAAGUUGGAUGUGAAAUCCCCGGGCUCAACCUGGGAACUGCAUCCAAAACUGGCAAGCUAGAGUAUGGUAGAGGGUGGUGGAAUUUCCUGUGUAGCGGUGAAAUGCGUAGAUAUAGGAAGGAACACCAGUGGCGAAGGCGACCACCUGGACUGAUACUGACACUGAGGUGCGAAAGCGUGGGGAGCAAACAGGAUUAGAUACCCCUGUAGUCCCUGUCUCUUAUAC